AAAAAUUUAGUUUAAUAAAACAUUAACUUGUCAAGUUAAAGAUAUACAAAAGUAUAAUUUUUA
rnacentral:tRNA from 1 species